GACAGAGCCUCGAGCGUUAGGCGGAAUCACUGGGCUUAAAGCGUGUGUAGGCGGAUCGUUAAGUACCUUGUGAAAUCCCACGGCUCAACCGUGGAACGGCUGGGUAUACUGGCGGUCUUGGGCCAUUCAGGGGCGACUGGAACAAGCGGUGGAGCGGUGAAAUGCGUAGAUAUCGCUUGGAACGCCGAAGGUGAAAACAGGUCGCUGGGGAUGUGCCGACGCUGAGACACGAAAGCCAGGGGAGCAAACGGG
rnacentral:rRNA from 1 species